rnacentral:tRNA from 1 species
GGGGCGUAGCUCAGUUGGGAGAGCGCUACACUGGCAGUGUAGAGGUCAUGGGUUCGAAUCCCACCGUCUCC